ensembl:snoRNA
GUCCAACAAACAGUGAUGUACUCUUUUCCAAGCACAUAUCUGACAAAUCUAUGUGGAAAAUAAUGCUGCUGAGUUUUUUGGAC